rnacentral:tRNA from 1 species
UCCCUGGUGGUCUAGUGGCUAAGACUCUGCCCUUCCAAUGCAAGGCAUAGGUUCAAUCCCUGGUCAGGGAA